GAUGAACGCUGGCGGCGUGCCUAAUACAUGCAAGUCGAGCGAACAGACGAGGAGCUUGCUCCUCUGACGUUAGCGGCGGACGGGUGAGUAACACGUGGAUAACCUACCUAUAAGACUGGGAUAACUUCGGGAAACCGGAGCUAAUACCGGAUAAUAUAUUGAACCGCAUGGUUCAAUAGUGAAAGACGGUUUUGCUGUCACUUAUAGAUGGAUCCGCGCCGCAUUAGCUAGUUGGUAAGGUAACGGCUUACCAAGGCAACGAUGCGUAGCCGACCGGAGAGGGGGAUCGGCCACACUGGAACUGAGACACGGUCCAGACUCCUACGGGAGGCAGCAGUAGGGAAUCUUCCGCAAUGGGCGAAAGCCUGACGGAGCAACGCCGCGUGAGUGAUGAAGGUCUUCGGAUCGUAAAACUCUGUUAUUAGGGAAGAACAAAUGUGUAAGUAACUAUGCACGUCUUGACGGUACCUAAUCAGAAAGCCACGGCUAACUACGUG
rnacentral:rRNA from 1 species